rnacentral:rRNA from 1 species
AGUGAACGCUGGCGGUAGGCCUAACACAUGCAAGUCGAACGGCAGCUCAGUAAGAGCUUGCUCUUACGGGUGGCGAGUGGCGGACGGGUGAGGAAUACAUCGGAAUCUACUUUUUCGUGGGGGAUAACGUAGGGAAACUUACGCUAAUACCGCAUACGACCUACGGGUGAAAGCAGGGGAUCUUCGGACCUUGCGCGAUUGAAUGAGCCGAUGUCGGAUUAGCUAGUUGGCGGGGUAAAGGCCCACCAAGGCGACGAUCCGUAGCUGGUCUGAGAGGAUGAUCAGCCACACUGGAACUGAGACACGGUCCAGACUCCUACGGGAGGCAGCAGUGGGGAAUAUUGGACAAGGGGCGCAAGCCUGAUCCAGCCAUACCGCGUGGGUGAAGAAGGCCUUCGGGUUGUAAAGCCCUUUUGUUGGGAAAGAAAAGCAGCAGGUUAAUACCCCGCUGUUCUGACGGUACCCAAAGAAUAAGCACCGGCUAACUUCGUG